UACAGAGGUCUCAAGCGUUGUUCGGAUUCAUUGGGCGUAAAGGGUGCGUAGGCGGCGAAGCAAGUCAGGUGUGAAAUCCCGGGGCUCAACCCCGGAACUGCAUUUGAUACUGCUUUGCUUGAGGACUGGAGAGGAGAUCGGAAUUCACGGUGUAGCAGUGAAAUGCGUAGAUAUCGUGAGGAAGGCCAGUGGCGAAGGCGGAUCUCUGGACAGUUCCUGACGCUGAGGCACGAAGGCCAGGGGAGCAAACGGG
rnacentral:rRNA from 1 species